AGUGAACGCUGGCGGUAGGCCUAUCACAUGCAAGUCGAACGGCAGCACAGUAAGAGCUUGCUCUUACGGGUGGCGAGUGGCGGACGGGUGAGGAAUACAUCGGAAUCUACUUUUUCGUGGGGGAUAACGUAGGGAAACUUACGCUAAUACCGCAUACGACCUACGGGUGAAAGCAGGGGAUCUUCGGACCUUGCGCGAUUGAAUGAGCCGAUGUCGGAUUAGCUAGUUGGCGGGGUAAAGGCCCACCAAGGCGACGAUCCGUAGCUGGUCUGAGAGGAUGAUCAGCCACACUGGAACUGAGACACGGUCCAGACUCCUACGGGAGGCAGCAGUGGGGAAUAUUGGACAAUGGGCGCAAGCCUGAUCCAGCCAUACCGCGUGGGUGAAGAAGGCCUUCGGGUUGUAAAGCCCUUUUGUUGGGAAAGGAAAGCAGCAGGUUAAUACCCCGCUGUUCUGACGGUACCCAAAGAAUAAGCACCGGCUAACUUCGUG
rnacentral:rRNA from 1 species